GACGAACGCUGGCGGCGUGCCUAACACAUGCAAGUCGAGCAAAUGAAGUUCCUUCGGGAACGGAUUUAGCGGCGGACGGGUGAGUAACACGUGGGCAACCUGCCUCAUAGAGGGGAAUAGCCUUCCGAAAGGGAGAUUAAUACCGCAUAAGAUUGUAGUACCGCAUGGUACAGCAAUUAAAGGAGCAAUCCGCUAUGAGAUGGGCCCGCGGCGCAUUAGCUAGUUGGUGAGGUAACGGCUCACCAAGGCGACGAUGCGUAGCCGACCUGAGAAGGUGAUCGGCAACAUUGGGACUCAGACACGGCCGAGACUCCUACGGGAGGCAGCAGUGGGGAAUAUUGCACAAUGGGGGAAACCCUGAUGCAGCAACGCCGCGUGAGUGAUGACGGCCUUCGGGUUGUAAAGCUCUGUCUUCAGGGACGAUAAUGACGGUACCUGAGGAGGAAGCCACGGCUAACUACGUGCCAGCCGCCGCCGUAAGAC
rnacentral:rRNA from 1 species